rnacentral:rRNA from 1 species
GACGAACGCUGGCGGCGUGCUUAACACAUGCAAGUCGAACGGAAAGGCCCUGCUUUUGUGGGGUGCUCGAGUGGCGAACGGGUGAGUAACACGUGAGUAACCUGCCCUUGACUUUGGGAUAACUUCAGGAAACUGGGGCUAAUACCGGAUAGGAGCUCCUGCUGCAGGGUGGGGGUUGGAAAGUUUCGGCGGUUGGGGAUGGACUCGCGGCUUAUCAGCUUGUUGGUGGGGGAGUGGCUUACCAAGGCUUUGACGGGUAGCCGGCCUGAGAGGGUGACCGGCGACCUGGGGACUGAGGUACGGCCCAGACUCGUACGGGGGGCAGCAGUGGCGAGUAUUGCACAGUGGGCGGGAGCCUGAUGCGGCAACGCCGCGUGCGGGAUGACGGCCUGCGGGUUGUAAACCGCUUUCGCCUGUGACGCAGCGUGAGUGACGGUAAUGAGUAAAGAAGCACCGGCUAACUACGUG